GGACAGAGAAAGUAUAUAUUUUACCAUAAUUGUUAUAGCCCGUAUUUUGUACGUUCGGAUAAUUCGAGAUAGUUGUGAGAAAUUAAGGGCAAAGCUAUAUUUUGAUCUUGUUUAAUACACAAGUUGGUUAUGAAUAUUAUUUAUGAAUAUUAGUAGUAUGAAAAUAUUGAGAAAGGCUAAGGGUAAAAAGGGAAAUUCGCAAAGUGGCUCAUGGUAAAAUUGUGGAAGGCUAGGGACAAAAUGGGAAUUUCACCAACAAUUCAAGAAAAUUCUUGAAUGGUCCAUCUCGGCCAUGUGGCCGUCCAAGUUGAGGUGGGCUUGGCCCACAUGGAUGAAUUAUAUGUAUGCAUAUAUAUGACAUAUUAGUCAUAUUCUCCACACAAAACUCUAGAACCUUGGAGAGAAAAAAAAAAAAAAAAAAAAGAAAGAAGAGCAAGGGAAUUCGGCCAUAGCCCCCAAAAAUUCACCCCUUGAAAGAUUGAUCAAAAAAAUUAUUUCUUCUAGUAUUCCAAGCAAUUGGAAGGUCCUCUUUAAUAAGGAGUGGUUGUUGGAGCAAUAAAACCAUUUAUUUGUGCAAGUUCACAACCUUAGCCAAAGUCAAGAAGUUGAGUGAAAAAGACUAGCAAGUUUGGACAAAUAAGCGUAGCUAGUUGGACGUGGAACAGGUACACCCAGAUGAGUAAAGAACAUUGCUAGAAGAUGCUUUAGCUGGAUUGGCAACUCCAUUUGCUCCUGGAGUGUUGCCGAGUCAGAGUAUACGUGCUAUGAUGUUUUGUUCGAAGUUAGAGACUUUGCAGAUAGAGUCGUGGGUAUAGAAUGUCAGUUUUGUAAGUGGCUCCAUCAGCCGAUAUGUCAUUCUGUGUUAUGUGACAAAUUCUACAUGAUUAUAGAUUUUGUUUGAUUUGAGAAUAACGAUGAAAAGAAUAUUUCUGAAAGCUGUACUAUGUAUUUCAUCUUUAUUUGAUUUAAAAGUCCAAGAAGAUUAUGUGUGCACUAAGGGUCUGAGGGUUCGCUCGGCCCUAAGUAAGGGUCGGGUGCCCAUCACACCCUAGUAAGA